AACAAAAACAAAAUCAAAUCAUUGUUGAAAUCAUAUUGCAAUUCAAACCAAUAAGCAAUGUCCUACCUAUACUCGUCGUCACUUCAUCGUUCUGAGCUCUUCUUAAUGCUGGGUUUGUGUGACGGUUUUCAUUAAUAUCUCUUUAAAGUUUCGUUUCAGGGUUUUUCAGCGUUGAUGCGUCGACAUUUCAUGGCACCAUUGCUGCCGUAUUGGUCUGUUUGCCGUGAUUUUGCAUCGAGCAGCCUUCGUGAAUUCAUCCCUCGGUUAGUGAGGUGCCAUAUUCUUGAAAGGGAUAUAUUGCAUUGUCACGUAGGAAGCAGCUGUGGUUAUUUGUGCCUAUGGGUUGUGCCAGUUGGGAUGGUGUUUGGUGCCCUUGUAGUGCAUUCUGAACGUCACACUCAUGUUGGGUUUUGCUUUGGCGUUCACUUAGUGGCGGAAUGUUGUUGUUGAGGUCGUCUUGGUAAUUUUUUUCCCUUGCUUCUCGUUCUGUUGUUCGAGUAAUUAUUUCAAUUACCACCCCAGGCUGAAGGACAAUGUUGUUUGGUUGUCUAUGGUGACGUCAAUUACCUUCACUCUGUAGCUAUUAUUUUUUCUGAGAAAUUAAUUCCGCCUGUUUCUAUUCAGAAUCUGCUGUGGCGAUUUUCUGUCGACUGUUCCUUGUUGCUCUGGUGUUAAUUACGUCUUAGGAGUCCCCUGGCCUAUGAUGCUGCCGCCGAACUGUUUGUUUUUCACGCUUCAGGUAAUGUUUUUUCUUUAUCGUGCUCAUCUGUUCUGCCGAAAAAUUCGGUUCCGCACUUCAGGUAAUAAUCUUUUAUGGUGCUGAUCUGUUCCAGAUGAAGGGUCAACUUUCAGGUAUGACGAUUGGCUUGACUUCAGAUUCUUUUUAAAUGGCAGGCUGUUGGUUUUUAGGAUUGAAAUUCUUGCUGGAAACUGAGCAUGAUGAAAUAAUGUUUUCUUGAAUUCUUUUUAUUUUUACCUUAUAUU